rnacentral:rRNA from 1 species
UUAAUUUAAGAACAACAACGCAUUAACAUGUUGAACAUGAAUAGUUAAAAUCUUAAAUACCCUGUUGUUCCCUAAAUCAAAGGAAGAUGUGGGUUUUACUGG